GUGCCUCAGCAUUUUCUUCCAAGUCUUUACUGGACAGGCUGCUCUGGUGCUUAUCACUGGAGAUAGAGAGAGUACCUUGCCUUCAACUUCUUCUCAAUGCCAGCAUCCCCCUUCCUUCAUCCAUAGCCAUAUAUGACGAUUGCUGAGCCUGAUGGGGGUUGUAAUUCAGCAACAUCUGGAGGGCCAGAGGUUCCCACACUUACUUGCAGGCUCCGGACUAAGACCGAGAUCAUCAGAGUUGGGUCCUUGUUGACUAAGAGCGCCGGGGAUUAUGGGAGUUGUAAUCCAACAACAUCAAGGGACCCAAGAUUGAAUGAUGCUGGCUUGUAGGACAUACUGCUGCCUAGGCUAAGCAGUCCUGGGUCUUGGUAGGAGGCCACAGGUAUACCACCUUGAGUUUCGUGAUGGAAGAAGGGAAGGAUAUGGCAGCAGAAAAGUAGAAUGUUUCUUAAAUAAAUCAAGGUCCAUGGUUGCUUUUUGCUGAGCCCUGCUAUAUAGGUCUGCAGGACUCUGCCUCAUGUUGGAUUUUGGGCAGGGGGGAGGUGUGUUGCCAGGAUACU